rnacentral:rRNA from 1 species
UACGGAGGGUGCGAGCGUUGUCCGGAAUCAUUGGGCGUAAAGGGCGCGUAGGUGGCUUCUUAAGCGUGCGGUGAAAGCCCGGGGCUUAACCCCGGGUCUGCAGUGGAUACGGGCAGGCUAGAGGUAGGUAGGGGAGAAUGGAAUUCCCGGUGUAGCGGUGAAAUGCGCAGAUAUCGGGAGGAACACCGGUGGCGAAGGCGGGUCUCUGGGCCGAUACUGACGCUGAGGAGCGAAAGCGUGGGGAGCAAACAGG